rnacentral:rRNA from 1 species
CUAUGCGCCUUGCCAGCCCGCUCAGGUGUGCCAGAGCCGCGGUAAUACGGAGGAUGCGAGCGUUAUCCGGAUUUAUUGGUUUAAAGGGUGCGUAGGCGGUCCGUUAAGUCAGCGGUAAAAUUGCGGGGCUCAACCCCGUCGAGCCGUUGAAACUGUCAGACUUGAGUUGGCGAGAAGUACGCGGAAUGCGCGGUGUAGCGGUGAAAUGCAUAGAUAUCACGCAGAACUCCGAUUGCGAAGGCAGCAUACCGGCGCCCGACUGACGCUGAGGCACGAAAGCGUGGGGAUCGAACAGG